rnacentral:rRNA from 1 species
AGUGAACGCUGGCGGUAGGCCUAACACAUGCAAGUCGAACGGCAGCACAGUAAGAGCUUGCUCUUACGGGUGGCGAGUGGCGGACGGGUGAGGAAUACAUCGGAAUCUACUUUUUCGUGGGGGAUAACGUAGGGAAACUUACGCUAAUACCGCAUACGACCUACGGGUGAAAGCAGGGGAUCUUCGGACCUUGCGCGAUUGAAUGAGCCGAUGUCGGAUUAGCUAGUUGGCGGGGUAAAGGCCCACAAAGGCGACGAUCCGUAGCUGGUCUGAGAGGAUGAUCAGCCACACUGGAACUGAGACACGGUCCAGACUCCUACGGGAGGCAGCAGUGGGGAAUAUUGGACAAUGGGCGCAAGCCUGAUCCAGCCAUACCGCGUGGGUGAAGAAGGCCUUCGGGUUGUAAAGCCCUUUUGUUGGGAAAGAAAAGCAGCAGGUUAAUACCCCGCUGUUCUGACGGUACCCAAAGAAUAAGCACCGGCUAACUUC